ensembl:lncRNA
UGUUAUCUUCAUUGAAAAAAAUGCUCUUCUUUCAAAAAUAAGGACAUUUCUAAGUGACCCCAAACUUUUGAACAGUAGUGUAGAUGAAAGAGAAUCUCCUCAUACAAUGUCACCUCAUGACAAGCAUUUGUUUUGACACCUAUUUUUUUUUUUAACACAUGCACAGGCAGUGUGCAUAUAGCAGCACGUAUGGACACAAAGUUUGGGCUGUAUGCAGAUAUCCAUACUUACGUGGAAAGCAUGACGGAUGAGUCAAGUCAGGACCUGAUGAUUAGCCACUAAAACACUUACAGCAUCAGUUUUAUUUAGUUAUGAGUUCACCAACAUUCCCAAAUCAAUUUACAGUAAUAUGGCAACAAACAAACUGCCACACAGUGAACCUAGGGUUGCUAAUUCAAUUCAGUUUUAUUUCUAUAGCGCAAGUUACAAGUCAAAUUGUCUCAAGGCGCUUUACAGAACCCAUAUGCCUGAACCCUAAGGUCCCUGUUGCAGGUACUUUUACCGAGCUGAUAAUCAAGCCAUGUGAUGAUGUGUGUCUGUGUGUGUGCAUGUGUGUGUAGAGACAUGCUGAGUUUCCUAAACAGCUGAAGUACAGUUUAAAUAUUUUAUCUACCUUAAUGAUAACUGAUUUGUCUGUUGUCGUUGGGCUCACAGGAGACGUCGGUUUGGGCUUCACUUUUUAUAUCAUCUCAUAAAACUGAAAGUUUAUGUCAUUGCAGAUUAUGUUGUAUUACAUUUGCAUGUCACAGCAACAAUCCUUGUAGUUUAUACACAUUUCAAAUCUUCAAAAAUACUAAUUACAAAUUUAAAACCUUCUUGUCCUGCUUGACAAGCAAUCAGUCGUUUCAGUUUUUUAAUAAUUUUGUACACAAAAGUGUCAUUUUUUAAGAGGAACGGCCUGAAAGGUUUUCUUACAUGCCACAAAACCAUACACUUAAACAGUUCUUUUACAUGUUUCACCAUUAUUAUUAUUAUUAUUAUUAGUUCUUGUCAAUGUGAUCAUUUCAUCAUAUUUUUAACCUCACUGACUGUAUUAGUAAAAUAGUAUCUUUGCACUAUUGAUUUAUAAAGAAUGUCAGUAGACUCUAAAGUUGUUCAUAGCAUGAAUAUAGCAUGAUCGUCACCCUCUGUCCUUUAAAUGAUCCUUGUAGGAAAGGUUUUUUUGGAAUCUUUUAACAUUUAAAUGCAUUAGUUACAGACCUUCGCUUUCUUACACUGCUGUAUACUUUGUAGUUCCACUUUUUCUGUUUUGUUUUCCAUGCAUUUCUCUGUGUAAUGUACAGAUAUUUACACACUCCAGGCUUAAAAAUAAAAGCAAAAAAAAUAUUAACUGUAAUAUUUGUGAUUUGUUGUUGUAGCAGGUAGAAAAAGCAAACAAAGCAGCUUGUGAAAACACAGCUACAGCGAUGGAAAAACCCUUAAAAUUU